UUCCCCCUUAGAGUUUGAUCCUGGCUCAGAGCCAUCGCUGGCGGCAGGCUUAACACAUGCAAGUCGAGCGGGCGUAGCAAUACGUCAGCGGCAGACGGGUGAGUAACGCGUGGGAACGUACCUUUUGGUUCGGAACAACACAGGGAAACUUGUGCUAAUACCGGAUAAGCCCUUACGGGGAAAGAUUUAUCGCCGAAAGAUCGGCCCGCGUCUGAUUAGCUAGUUGGUGAGGUAACGGCUCACCAAGGCGACGAUCGGUAGCUGGUCUGAGAGGAUGAUCAGCCACAUUGGGACUGAGACACGGCCCAAACUCCUACGGGAGGCAGCAGUGGGGAAUAUUGGACAAUGGGGGCAACCCUGAUCCAGCCAUGCCGCGUGAGUGAUGAAGGCCCUAGGGUUGUAAAGCUCUUUUGUGCGGGAAGAUAAUGACGGUACCGCAAGAAUAAGCCCCGGCUAACUUCGUGCCAGCAGCCGCGGUAAUACGAAGGGGGCUAGCGUUGCUCGGAAUCACUGGGCGUAAAGGGUGCGUAGGCGGAUCUUUAAGUCAGAGGUGAAAGCCUGGAGCUCAACUCCAGAACUGCCUUUGAUACUGGGGAUCUUGAGUUCGGGAGAGGUGAGUGGAACUGCGAGUGUAGAGGUGAAAUUCGUAGAUAUUCGCAAGAACACCAGUGGCGAAGGCGGCUCACUGGCCCGAUACUGACGCUGAGGCACGAAAGCGUGGGGAGCAAACAGGAUUAGAUACCCUGGUAGUCCACGCCGUAAAC
rnacentral:rRNA from 1 species